rnacentral:lncRNA from 1 species
UAGGUGCCCUUGCAGGGACAGACACCCCUGUCUGUCUGUCUGCCUGCCUGCCUGUCCAAUCCCCCAGGGUCUGGGAACCCAAUGGGUACCCGCACGGGGUGCGCACGACCCCACACAUUCAGAACUGUGGGAUUUUUAGCCCAAUCCCGAUUUUCAGCUCGUCUCCUGGCUGAGUUUCCCCCGCUGGGGCUGGUUUCCCCUUUGGGCCACCCAUGCCAGGCAGGAUCCGGCCCUGCUCCUCCCCGGAGCUGUUUGCAGAGCCCGAGCGAUCCUGCGGCGGGGCGGAGGGCGCGCGGCUCCUUAUCGCCGCGUUCCCGGGGCCGGAUCCUGCGUGCGGGCAUGUGCGUGCGUGCCGAGGGCGUGCGAGCUGCUCGGGGAGGCGAAGGACAAAGGGAGCCGGGGCGGCCGUGCCGUGCUGUGGGGUGGGAGCCUGCACCCUACAGCUGCUUCCUGGGGUGCCCAGGGCUUUGCUGUCGGUGCUGCGGGGUGCCAAGCUGUCCUGUGCCGUGCCGUGCCGUGCCACGCUGCACUGUGCCGUGCCGUGCCGUGCCAGCAGCCCGGUGGCAGCGCCUUGGCAGAGGCCCAGGGUGUGCCCAGGUUUUUGGGGGGGUCUCCGCAGCCAGGAUUGGGGUGGUGGCGCCUCCGUCUGGGCUCCCCCCCCGCCCCGUCCCCGGCACCCAGGGACUUGAAAGCCGCCCCGGCCGCCCCGGCCCUUUCAUGCGGCUCUCGGUGAAGCCUGACCCCGCGCACAAAGCCCCCAGGAGCCCAUUUGAAUCUGAAAAGGGGUCUGAGCACAGAGCCCUGACCUUCAACCCGUGGGUCAGCCUGUCCACGCCACCGCCACCACUGCCGGGCCCCCCCGGACCCCCCGACGAGCCUGGCCAGACCUGGCCGAGCCAGCAGCCCCGCGACCCCCAGGUCUGCAGCCCUAUUGUGCACCCCAGAGCCCUGUUGUGCACCCCCAACCCUGUUUUGCACCCUCACGGCCCUAUUUCGCACCCCAGAGCCCUGUUGUGCACCCCAAUAGCCCUGUUGUUCACCCCCAGAACCCUGCUUAGCACCCCCACAGCCCUGUUUUGCACCCCAAAGCCCUGCUGUGCACCCCGACACCGCUGCCCUCCAGCCUUGCCCCGCAGCCCCGUUCUGCGUCCCCGCAGCCCUGCCUGUCUGCCCUCUCCAUCUGGAUAUCGACCCGCUGAGCCUUGAACUCCGCUGCGGGAUGUCCCCGGGGAGCCGCAGCCCUCCUCGUGGCCCAGCUGUAGCUCCGUGCCUCAGUUUCCCCGACACCCUGCAGCACAUCUGUGCCCCGGGCUGCCCCCCAGCCCCCGCACCCUGGCACCAGAGACCCCCGCUCGCCCUAAUCCUGCCCCACGCUUGCCCUAAUUCUGCCCCACCGCCGUCCCAUCGCGCCG